UACGGGGGGGGUAAGCGUUGUUCGGAAUUACUGGGCGUAAAGCGCACGUAGGUGGUUUUAUAAGUCGGAUGUGAAAGCCCCGGGCUUAACCUGGGAAUUGCAUCCGAGACUGUCUGACUAGAGUAUGCUAGAGGGAAGUGGAAUUCCAGGUGUAGCGGUGAAAUGCGUAGAUAUCUAGAGGAACACCAAUGGCGAAGGCAACUUCCUGGGGCAAUACUGACACUGAUGUGCGAAAGCGUGGGGAGCAAACAGG
rnacentral:rRNA from 1 species